rfam:Dipodomys ordii contig_52201, whole genome shotgun sequence.
GGGAAUGUGGCUUAGUGGUAAAGUGCUUGUCUAGCAUGCACGAAGCCCUGGGUUCAAUUCCUCAGUACCA